rnacentral:misc_RNA from 1 species
AACGCACAUUGCGCCCUUUGGUAUUCCAAAGGGCAUGCCUGUUCGAGCGUCAUUUGUACCCUCAAGCUUUGCUUGGUGUUGGGCGUUUUUGUCUCUGGUCCGCCAGCGACUCGCCUUAAAAUCAUUGGCAGCCGGCCUACUGGUUUCGGAGCGCAGCACAAAUUUGCGCUUCUUCCAGCAGCGGUCCGCGUCCAUGAAGCCACUUUUUCAACGUUUGACCUCGGAUCAGGUAGGGAUACCCGCUGAACUUAA